UAUAUACCCAAACGUGGUAUUGCUGGGUGAAGAGGACAACCUUCCAUGAAUAGAGGAGGACGGGUCUCCGUCAAGGGUAGACGAGUAGCUGCGCUCCCCUGCUAGAACCUCCAAACAAGCUCUCAAAGCCUCCCAUUCUUUUUUAUUAUUAUUUAUUUGUUUGUUUGUUUGAUACAGGGUUUCUCUGU
rnacentral:sRNA from 1 species